rnacentral:rRNA from 1 species
GACGAACGCUGGCGGCGUGCUUAACACAUGCAAGUCGAACGGAAAGGCCCUGCUUUUGUGGGGUGCUCGAGUGGCGAACGGGUGAGCAACACGUGAGUAACCUGCCCUUGACUUUGGGAUAACUUCAGGAAACUGGGGCUAAUACCGGAUAGGAGCUCCUGCUGCAUGGUGGGGGUUGGAAAGUUUCGGCGGUUGGGGAUGGACUCGCGGCUUAUCAGCUUGUUGGUGGGGUAGUGGCUUACCAAGGCUUUGACGGGUAGCCGGCCUGAGAGGGUGACCGGCCACAUUGGGACUGAGAUACGGCCCAGACUCCUACGGGAGGCAGCAGUGGGGAAUAUUGCACAAUGGGCGGAAGCCUGAUGCAGCAACGCCGCGUGCGGGAUGACGGCCUUCGGGUUGUAAACCGCUUUCGCCUGUGACGAAGCGUGAGUGACGGUAAUGGGUAGAGAAGCACCGGCUAACUACGUG